GCGAGGCAGUCGCUGUGCGGAGGAUUUUCAGGACGUUUGUACCGACUGAAGUUUCCUCUUUUGAGAGCUGGCCUGCUUUGAGGGGAAUCCUUUCCUACCAGAAAAAUAUCAGCAGCACAGAAGAGACAUACUGUGGUAACGUGUGUGACAAUGGAGGAGCUGGGGACAGCCAGAUCCACUGAGCAGACACCCAGCCCCACCAGAAGCCCCCUGGUGGAAGUACUGGCCCUGAGAAACAAGGCUGGAUGGACUUAUACUUCAGAAAUGACCCCAAAUUUUAUGCAGACCUUACCAGGUUGAGAUGGAUAUAGACUCUACCUCAUGUGUUAUUGUGAGUAGUGAAAAGAUAAUAAAUGUAAAAUGCCCCGUCAUAAAGGGCUCUAUGUUAUCCUGGCAGUGUUUUGGGGGUCAUUGACAUCAGAGGCACCUUUGUUAGGGAACUGUACAAUAAAAAAAAGUGUGCCUUAAAACUUUAUGGUAGAAUAUCUGGUAGGAAUGGAAACUAGGGAUCUGG
rnacentral:lncRNA from 1 species